rnacentral:lncRNA from 1 species
CAUAAUGCAGAAUUAGUACAAGGUGAGGUUGAUCAAGAGGGGAAUGCUUUUUGCAAAUCACAACGUACUCAAGCUAGUCAACACAUAAGGGAAGCCGGACAAAUUAAUGGUAAGGAAAAGUGGACAUCGAUUUCCAAUAAAAACAGAAAUCCAAUAAGCAAAACACAACAGCAGAUUGAACAAAAAAGUACAGAUGUACCAAAAAAUCAAAACUCUUUUGCUGCACUUGGCAAUGCCAAUGAAGAUGAUGGAAAGGUCACUAGAAGUACAGAUGUACCAAAAAAUCAAAACUCUUUUGAUGCACUUGUCAAUGCCAAUGAAGAUGAUGAAAAGGUCAGUACAGUUAACUUGCAGAUGACUGACAGUAACCAUCACAAUAACUCAUCAGAGACAGCUGCUUUGAAUAAAUAUCCAGUGCCAAGGGAUCAAACUGUUAUCAAAGAUACACAGGUUAAAAU